UACAUGUAGUGUACGCGGUCGAGGGCCC
rnacentral:piRNA from 1 species